CGCAGCAUCUUCCAGCGCCACCUGGUGAUCCCCACCUCCUCUCCUCCCUGUCUCAAAGCAUGCAGGAACAUUCCCUGGCUGCUUUUCUCCAUCGGCAUGAUGGAACUGACUACAGACUGAAAUACACCGAGCUCUGUAUCUGCAUCUAAACAAGCUGGCUCGCCACAGAAUCUGCCUCUGCUAAAGGAUUUUUGUACCUUUUCUUGCUAGGUUUUCCUGGGAGUUAUAGAGAAAAUAUGAAUAGAGUUUUACCUCUAAAGCAACAAAAGGAAUAGUUAAUGGAAAUUAAUUACUUUCAUAGACAAGACCCUGAUAAAUUAAUAGCAGCUUAUCUUUCCUCCUGGUGCAGAAAAAGAACUUCAAGUGGCUGCCCAGUUCACUUUCUAACAUGGAAAGAAGUUUGAAACCAGAUUUACAGUCAGCUGCUAGGAGACAGCUGAGAAGUAAAAGAAUGUUACCCUGGGAGUAGAUCAUGCACCCACUGCCCAGCAGAAGCAUUCAGGCACUGGUUUCAGAAGGAGCUGAUUGUACUCAGUCCCUGCUUCUCUGAUCACCUGAUGGAUUCCACAUUGUACAGGGGAUGGAGGCAUAUUUCCCUGUCACCCCACAGGCAGAACUUCUCUAAAGGCACUCAAAUGCAUCCAUUCUUACCACAGACCGUGCUGGAGAAUUGGACACUUCCAUCAGGAGGCCUGAGAGUUCAAAAACACCACAGCAGACUGCUCCCAAAGAGACUUCAAUAAGAAGUGUGGUUGAAGUACUUAAGAGAGAUCACUUCAUGAUAGUCAAGAAAAGGAAGUCUUUUUUCUGACAGGUGGAAAAGGGAGUGUUGGCAGUCAGCUCAGACAGAGAUCCCUGCAGUGCAGAUGACUGAACGUGGGCACGAGAACUCCACUUCCCCAUCCAAAAAGUAUUCAUGUCAACAACACUGCACCUGGGGGCUACAUUCUGGCCACUUUUGGAUCCUAUUUGGAGGGUCACAGGCUGCCUCCAUGACCUGGACUAUCGAAGAACUGGAGAUCCCCAAAGGGACAAUCUCUCUGCAGAUUUGGAGGUUUGAGCCUGGAUUUUCUUCAGUCUUGACUUUCACAUACCUCUGUGAUUCC